rnacentral:rRNA from 1 species
UACGAGGGGGGCGAGCGUUGUUCGGAAUUAUUGGGCGUAAAGGGCGCGUAGGCGGUCGGAUAAGUCUUGUGUGAAAUCUUCGGGCUCAACUCGAAGGCUGCACAGGAAACUAUCUGGCUUGAGUGUGGGAGAGGUAAGUGGAAUUCCUGGUGUAGCGGUGAAAUGCGUAGAUAUCAGGAGGAACACCUGUGGCGAAAGCGGCUCACUGGACCACAACUGACGCUGAGGCGCGAAAGCUAGGGGAGCAAACAGG